UACAGAGGGGGCAAGCGUUGUUCGGAAUUACUGGGCGUAAAGGGCGCGUAGGCGGCGACUCAAGUUAGAUGUGAAAGUCCUGGGCUUAACCUGGGGACUGCAUUUGAUACUGGGUUGCUUGAAUUCGGGAGAGGAUAGCGGAAUUCCCAGUGUAGAGGUGAAAUUCGUAGAUAUUGGGAGGAACACCGGUGGCGAAGGCGGGUCUCUGGGCCGAUAUUGACGCUGAGGAGCGAAAGCGUGGGGAGCGAACAGG
rnacentral:rRNA from 1 species